rnacentral:rRNA from 1 species
AGAGUUUGAUCCUGGCUCAGAUUGAACGCUGGCGGAAUGCUUUACACAUGCAAGUCGAACGGCAGCACGGGUGCUUGCACCUGGUGGCGAGUGGCGAACGGGUGAGUAAUGCGUCGGAACGUACCGAGUAAUGGGGGAUAACGCAGCGAAAGUUACGCUAAUACCGCAUACGAUCUAAGGAUGAAAGUGGGGGAUCGCAAGACCUCAUGCUCGUGGAGCGGCCGAUAUCUGAUUAGCUAGUUGGUAGGGUAAAAGCCUACCAAGGCAUCGAUCAGUAGCUGGUCUGAGAGGACGACCAGCCACACUGGAACUGAGACACGGUCCAGACUCCUACGGGAGGCAGCAGUGGGGAAUUUUGGACAAUGGGCGAAAGCCUGAUCCAGCAAUGCCGCGUGAGUGAAGAAGGCCUUCGGGUUGUAAAGCUCUUUUGUCAGGGAAGAAACGGUGAGAGCUAAUAUCUCUUGCUAAUGACGGUACCUGAAGAAUAAGCACCGGCUAACUACGUGCCAGCAGCCGCGGUAAUACAGAGGGUGCAAGCGUUAAUCGGAAUUACUGGGCGUAAAGCGCGCGUAGGUGGUUCGUUAAGUUGGAUGUGAAAUCCCCGGGCUCAACCUGGGAACUGCAUUCAAAACUGUCGAGCUAGAGUAUGGUAGAGGGUGGUGGAAUUUCCUGUGUAGCGGUGAAAUGCGUAGAUAUAGGAAGGAACACCAGUGGCGAAGGCGACCACCUGGACUGAUACUGACACUGAGGUGCGAAAGCGU